rnacentral:lncRNA from 1 species
AGAGGAGAUACAACGACAAGUAUGGAAAUUGAAGUAGUAAUGUGUUGGCGCGUGAUUUUUUUUGUCUCAUGUCAUUUGAACUAUUUGGUUUAUGUAUGCCGGAGUGAACUAUUUUAGCGUUAUAUGUCAUUUGAACUAUUUGGUUUAUGUAUGUCGGAGUGAACUAUUUUAGUGUUAUAUGUCAUUUGAACUAUUUGGUUUAUGUAUGUCGGAGUGAACUAUUUUACCGUUG